CUCCCUUUUAUGAAUGGGGGGCUGGAGGAAGACUGGCUGCGAGCCGCGGAGAACGGAUACGGCUCUCGCUCGCUGUUUGCGUGUCCCCCCUCCCCCCCCUUCAUUUAUUUAUUUAUUUUUCUGUGAAUGGAGGGCAGGCGGUGACAGCUGCGCACGUACCGCGCCCUCUGCCCGGCCUGAAGGUAACGGCGGCUCAGGGAGGGGGGGCGGCGGUGGCGGCUCCGGCACCCCCGUACCUCUGGGCGCGGAGCGGGGCUGGGGGCAGCCGUCCUGUUCGGGCUGCGGGCCCGUUGCGGUGGUACCGCACCCGCACCUCCUUCUGCUCGUGCAUAGCAGUUGCGUGUUGUGCUGGCAACAUCGGUGUGAAAAAGCGAGGAAAAGCUGAGGCUACGUUUGCGUUACAUAUGUGGCGUGUGGAUUUAUUUCAUGGCCCUUCUCCUUUGAGAAGAUGAGGGGCAGAGCUGUGCAGUUCGCACCGAGCAUCCGAGAUGUGGUCUCGCCCGAUGGAAGCGGGGCGUUACGGUGCUGCUCUCAGCUUUGCAGCUGUUUCCUUGCCGAGGCUGCUGUCAGCCCCGCAGCGUAAGGCGGCCCCCGAUUCAGGUUUUCAAAUGGUCUUCACAAUCGCUGUUUGCUGGUAGGUGUGGGGCUCCCCUGCAAACCUGGCCCUGUCUCUGCGCGCUCUGCUCUUACGUGCUUCAGAUCCAAUUCAGCAAAUGGAGACCUCCCUUCAAUUCUCAGCUGGUGCAGAACGGCCCCGGGCUGGGGUUUGCUCCCUCGGGAGCACGUUGCUUUACAGGGAAAAUGCACGAGGAAUAAUGAUGUAUUUUUAUUAUGUGAGAAGAGUAAAAUUCAGCCUACAAACCAACCCCUUUGUCAUCUUGCAGCAUACGUUUAAUAGCUCACACAGCAGUGAGGGAAGGUCCGCGUUCAGCCGCUGCCGGUGUGAGCUCUGCCCCCUACUGCAGAUACGCCUCCUGGGAAGGUUUCUCCCUACGGAAGUGUGCGCUCAAAGACCAAUCGUUUGGUUGCGUACGUGUUUGUCUCUGAGGGCAGAGAUCGCUCCGACUGGGAGCGGCGGCUGUGGGUCGUGGGCAGAUGCAGUUUGACAGGGAAAGGACACGAGAAAGACAAUCUCUAAAGAAUUGUCUGAGCCAUGCUCAUAAUACUACUGACUUCAAAUACACGAGAUUGAUGCUUUCUCUUAAGAGUAAGAGAAUAUGGUUGUUCAUGACGUUACUUUGUUAUUGGUAGGCCUUACAAUGUGCUUUUUAAAGGUCAGGAAUUCCGUCUGGUUUUGAAAAUUAGCAAGAAAAUGGGCAAUAGAAGGAAAUACAGUGUUAAGUAGCUGGGGGGGAACCCUCAUAAUAUAAUUUGAGGGAAUUAGAAUUCCCUCAAAAAUAACCUUCUGCUCUAUGAAGCCAGCUCAGAGCUGAAAGGCUCAAAUGCCUGAGCAGCGGAUCUGCCCUGAUUUCUCACUGUGCUUUUCAGCAUUUGUGUCUGUGUGAGCAUCCAACACUGAUUUGAGUUCCGCAGGUGUGCAGUAACUCUGUAGCCAAACAUCCCUGAACUAAAAGCUUUUAUGUAGGGAUGCUGAUUUCUCUGUUGCAGAGCGAUUAGUACAGUGAACGUGAGGGAAGUUCUCGGUUGCAGUAAUCAUUUCCCCACGAAACCCGAACUGCACAGAUGCCAGCUGCAAACCACUACGUAGCAGCAAAGCAGGCAGUGUUGCAAUUGCACAGUGGUUAUAGGCAAAGCCCUUGACAAAACGCUCUUGACAAAAGCCCCAGCAGUAGAACUGCAGCCUCGUGAUACCUUUACACAUUGCAGUCUGCUCUGUGUGCAUGCAGCACCUCCAGCCACCCUGUUUUUAAGGCUGUGCUCCUCCUGCUUCCCUAUGGGAAGGCAGCACGCCGGCUGUGCUCCUGUGUGCAGAAGAAGUCAAUUCCUUAUCCAGACUGAUAUUUUUGAUUUGCUUACAGAAUUGGAUUCAAAUCAUUCCAAAAGAGAAGGUUUUGAAUCUGGCCCCUCUUCUUGAAAGCAGAGGGUGCCCUAAUGGGUGGUUUUGCCAUCUGUUGGUAACACAAGGAGGAGAACUUUUCCCUUCUUAUUAUUUGCUUAACCAUUUUUGUGUGCGUUAUACGAAUGCGAGCUGUUGAUUAAAAUUUCCUACUAUAAUGAGAAAAGGGAAUUCCAGUGUUUUAUCACCUAACUCUUAGAAAUGGUUCAUAGAACCCAUAUGGCUGCAUUUGUCUUUUAAUCCACUGAGAUGGUAUUUCCCAAGCACAGAAAAGCACUACUGCAAAAUCCACCCUGGGCAGCACUGUGUGCUUCUGAUGGGUUUGACCCUGCGAGGAUUCCAGCCGUAGGGAGAGUAGGAAAUACUGGGAUGUGUUUACUGAUGUACUGUGUCAAAUAUUUGUUCCAUGUCAGAUAAUUUGUGUGAUGGUUACUGUGAGAGCACUCCUCUAUCACACUGCUGACAGCAGUUACAGGCCUGGUCUGUGAUACCUGGAGAAAAAUGGGCAUGGUAACUAUACUGGCAAAAUGGUGACUGCUGUGUCACAGUGUGUGUGACCCUGCUUGCCACAGCCUGAACUGGGGCUGUGCUGAGAUGCUGAACUCAAGCGCCACAAAGCGGAUGGCAGAAGUGUGUAUGCAGAGGUGGAGGAGUGUGAGGUCUGAGCACUGCUGGUGUGGGGCUGCUCCCCCAGGAGUUACUGCUUCCAUGAGCUCCCCUGUGCAACCCAGGAGGGGACAGUUGGAGCAGACCUUAUAUUGCUGUGGGUGAGGGGCAGUACCAGACCCGUUCAGUGCUGGGCUCUAUCUCGCUUUGAAACACCGCUGUGUAUAGCUGUUGCCCAAAGCCUUCCUUGCUGAUAUGAGGCAGCAGUGUCCCCUCUGCUCCAAACUCCUCCACAGACUUUGCAGUCCACCCUGGAGGUGACUAAAUGUCAUUAUCUCAGUGACACGGGCUGCUAUCUCAGCUGUCCGGUGCUGCGGUGCAGAUGAAAGCUCUGUGCUUCCUGCUGCCCUAUCAGGCACCUGUUGUCUGUACCCAGACAUUACUCACAUCCUUGAAGUCACAUCUUGUUUUGCAUAAUUAACACUGACUGUGCUCCGCUUCCUUCCUUCCCUGGCAGUUUUGCUCCAUGGCUUUACCUGGCUGUGGAAGCAUUGGGUUUUAUUUUUGAGCUCUAGCACAAGGAAUGAAAGUAACUGUUGCUGCAUGGCAUGGGCUCACAACCAAUGAGGGUGUCACAGCCUGGUCUGGGGAUGCCCUUCAGUCCUGAAUUGGUGCUGCAGCCACGAUCUGUUGUGUGCACUUUUGUGCCACUUCCUCAGGAGUGGUUUUCAAGCAAGCAAACAAACAAGAAGCAAAGCCAGACAAAGUUCUGUGCAGUGCACACCCGCAGGGUGAGCUGGGAGGUUGUGCUCAGAAGAGGAAGGCGCCACCUGAGAUGAAGGGACACAAUGCCUCAGGGCAGGCUGGGGGAGCUGGGGGGAUCCUGAGGCACUCUGGGCUGUCCCCAGAGGGAAAUGUUUCCCGAAGCAUGUCCCCUUGCUGAUGCUUUCAGGUGGCUCCCAGUGCCGGCAGCCAACUCAUGGCAGCCUAUGAGAGCUGUCUUUGGGAUGGAACCAUUGCAUCAGCACUUUGCUUUCUGCAGUAGUUCACCGCUGACUUCUGUUUUGUAAUUUGCUUCAGCUUUUAAUAUCUAUUGACCUGGUUCUACAUGAAUAAUUUAGUGUUUAUGAACAAUCGUAGUAACAGAACCUAUGCCAUCAACUAAACCAUGAGCUCAGCAAAAUAGGAUAAAAAUUCAUAAAACGUAUAAUGAGAGCUCUGGGGUCUCCAUGGAGCUGAACAGAAGUGUUGUAUGACCUGUAAGCCCCCAAACAUGUAACUGCCCAGUAUUCAGGCGACAGGACUCCUACAUCUCCAGACAGGUGCAGUUAGCUGCCAGUGCUGCAAUACACUUCCCAGUCACAGCACUGGGAUUAUUGGGUUGCAAGCCUGAUGUAUGCAUGUUUUCUGCAGGAUCAGGUAUUACAGUUCUUUAGUUUUUGCACUUAUACCUGACUUGCCUGGCGUCCUCCAUUCCAGCUGAGCACUCUGUCUUUGCAUUUGCUUUUCAAAACGUUGCCAGUUUGAAGAUGUUUGCUGAUUCAUUUCCUUUCUUGGAGGAUGGCAGCCUGGGUGAUGCUUUCUCUCAGUCUCAAGAUCUGACCUCAGUGGAGCGGAGGCAUUUGCAAUUCACUGAGAGGAAAAAUUCCAUUGAGGUAAAUGCAAAUGCAGAAGUUGGUGCCUUACAGGAAUGAAGGUUUUCGAUUCGUGACUGUGCAUAGCUGUAGUUUGCACAGAUAGAGGUGGAGAGGAAGAUAGGGGCUGGCAGUAAUGAACAGACAGGAUCCUCUGCUGAAGCUGCUGUGAUCUUUGCUGCUGCCCAACUGGUGGAGCAACGAAGUGUGUUAUCAGGCAGAGACUCUGGAAAUCUUAGAUAUGGAUUUUCCCAUCACAGGCUCUGGACACGAUGCCGGAUCUGCUCAGUACCGGUGCAGGGGAAUGAGGCUAUUUACCUGCAGGGAGAUGGAUGAGGGCCUGUGGGGAACCCCGCCAACUGUUUGGGACUGAAUAGACGAUCUCAAGGACCGUAAAUUGUGAACCUUUCUAAUAUUUUUUCAGAAUAUUUAUUUACAGUUCAGGUCAAUAAUCUCCAGAAAUACAGUUCUGCUUACAAACAGAAUUCCUGGGCUGCAUUCCCAGGCAUUCCCAUGUGACUGGAGCAUUUUUAGCAACAAAAUGAACAAAUGCAAACCUAUGUUCGGGGCAGUGGAAGUGUUGCUGUUCCCAUUGUCCCUAUGGCAGCGUGCUGAGGGCUGAGCUGAGCGGGGCAGUGGCCCUGGGACAGCUGGGCUAUGAGUGUGUAAGUGCAAGGGAACAACUGCAGCUCUCUGUUACCUGCUGGCCUCUCUUUCUCCAAAACCUCUCUGUUUACUCUUGACUAAGAAAAUGAAUUUUCAUACAGAGGAAAUUGUGUUACCUGACAAACAAAGCAGCGCUGUGGAAAAAUACUGGCAUUAAAAGCUACCGUGACUAUAGAGCAGUGCUACAGAGCCUUGUGGUGUUCUUAGUGCUAUAGCAGGGCACUGAGAUCCUGGAAAAUCCAGUACUGGGGCUGUUCUCAGCUCUCCAGCACCAGUCCCUGAGGAGAGCCCCCCAUUAAUGGGGUACCCUGACAGCUUGCUGCCUCCUGCCUGUGCCCCAUGUUGUGCUUGGACCCACUCAGAGCAGAAAGCUGUCCCUCCUUCCUCAAGUACUGCAUGACUUUCCCUGCAAGGCUCCAUUUAGAAAUGAUGCAGUUAAUGAGCAGCAAGACAAGCACUUCAAUAUUGCCUAGUUUUUGCACAUGUAUCACAAUGAAUGGAUCAAAGGCAGCCAGCAAAUUUACCUUUAUUUUGACAGGAAUAGGUCAGUGCAUCCUACCUGGUGCAGGCUGGGACCCUCAGCAUUCAGGGGCAUAAACGUUGUGGCCCUUUAGCUACAACUUAACUGCUGUGGUAGUAACAGUGUUUCUGCUAACCGGUUCCUGUUGUUCCUGAGGUUAAGGUUUAAAAUGCCUUGUAUAGUAAAAACAUUCCGUAUUGCAGCUCUUUGCUGUGUCCACGGGGUCGGUGAUGAUUAACUGCAUAUCUUAACCACAGCUCCUUCCGCCCUCUGACAUGAAUGCAGUUUGAUGUGGCCCCCGUUUACAUCCCCACGCCAUCAUUUUCAGCCUUCUGACUGGAUGUGUGCAGAUAGCUCAUAGCAGCUGUUAAUGAUUUACAGCCCUGAUUUAACUCCAGGUGAGAUUGCAGAGCUGCCCUCGUUGCAGAAGGAAGCAGCUGAGGUGUGCAGCUCCCAAAGCAGCUGUGCCAUGGGACAGCUCUGUGCCCCCUGCACUGCUCCAUCACUGCCCAUCCCGUGCUGGGCACUGCAGUGGGGGUGAUGGAGCCCAUCCGUCCCACUGUGGAGCACUGCUGAGCACUAUGGAGUCACAUCCUUGUAUGCAAUUACCAUAUUCUAUCACUUAAAUAUUUUCCUGGCUAAUUUCUUCCUGUCCCAGCUUUGAAAAUACCCGGCUUAUAACCAUUAAGAACUUACAGACUGGAAAAGUACACAAUUCCAAAGGAUUGGUUUAAUGCUUAAAAUCAACUUUUCUUUGUGGGCUUAACCUGUUACCUUUUGCAGGAUUUACAUUUAUUUAUUUUUUCCCCCUUUUCAGCCAGCAGCCCUAAUGCUGUGAAUACCCGCAGCUGCUGCAGCUCUGCCUGCUGGAUGGUGCAGUAACGUGGAACCUUAACAACAGGAAGAAAAGUAAAUGUUUAAUGAUUUGCCUUUAACAGAUCUCUGAAAGCUUUUCCUUCAUGCUUUGCUGCUUAUGAGAUUUUUGGAUGCUUUUGUGUUUUUUCUCCCCAUUCCUGGCUUUCCUUGGGGUUCUUUUCCCUGUGAGGCAGUGAUGCUAUUGAUGCUGGAGCCUCAGGACAGGCAGGUUGGGCAGUGGGUGUCAGACGAUGUGUUUUCUGUGUGCCACAAUCAGCCCUCCUUGCUCACAAACAAAGGCAGAUAAGCACUGGAAAUUAAUAUUAGCUCACUUUUGCGUGCUCUGUUUUCCCGACCUUGAAGGGCAGAGGCCAGGCAGCACCGCAUCGAUCUGUGGUGGAUAGGGCAAGGAAUGGGGCUCAGGAGCUCCUCUGUGCUCUGAGAAAUACGAACGGAGUGCGCUGCGUGGAGCUGUGGUGCGAGCUGGGGCCAUUUGGAGGUAGGAAGUGGUCGGCUUUGUACCUCCUUGCCAAAGAAAACUGCUGACUCUUUGAAUGCAAUAUUGACAUUAAGGUUUGGAGGAGGAUGUGCAGAAAGGAGAAGGCUUGGGGAUGUUGGUGUGAUGAGGUGAGCAGGCGGAUGCUGAAGCCGUGGUUUGCUGAGCGCUGCAUUCCCCCAUGUCCCCGCAUGCUGCUGUCUUCUGCAGCCAUUAUGAGCAGCUGUGCUUCCAGGGCAGCCUUGGGUGCCCUGUCAGUGGCUGUCCCUGAGAAAUUUGUUUCUGUUCAUAGAACCAUAGAAUCACUAAGGUUGGAAAAGACCUCUCAGAUCCCCAGGACCAACCACAGCCCACCCCGUUGUGCCCACUGACCACAUCCCCCCGUGCCACAUCCCCAUGUUCGGAGCACCUUCAGGAUGGUGACUGCCCGCCCCCCGGGCAGCUGUGCCAGUGCUAUCUGCUCGUUUGGGGAUGAAAUAUUUCUUAAUAUCCAACCUGAGCUCACUGCCAAACCAUUCUUAGCGGGUACGAACCUGCACCUCAAAUCUGUCCUCUGCUGCAGCUCUGUGCUGCUGCGUCUCAUCUAGCUCCCACUGGCUAAUGCAUGUGAUGGAUUCAUCUCAGCUGCAGUAUCCUUUGUUUCUGUCCAUCCUUAGCUUUCUGUUCUGUGAGUAAGAUAGGGGUGGUUGGCAUGAAGAUUCCUCUUCAGACCCAUCGCCAGCUCCUGCUUGCACUGUGGGGCUGUGGAGGUGUGCCAGCCUUACUGGGCUGAGUGGUGCUGCUGCUGUGCCCUGGUAAGCUGACACACAUCUGUUGUGAGGGACUUUGUUGGGCUGAGGUGUCCUUGGGAGUGGAGGGAACAAGUCAAGGAGAAAUUCAGUCACUGCCCUGACAGGAAAAUCCGAUGAGGACACAAAGACUUAAUGAUGCAUGUGGGCAAAAAUAGGCCAAAUUUCAAGAGUGAUGGGAUGUGAGGGUGAAGUUUCUCUGAGGGAAGGCACACCGAAGUCCUGAUGCAUGUCUCACAACAUGAGCUUUGGUGCACAGGGCAGUGCAAGGGCUUUUCAGAUCUAUGUGGCGGAUGGAAAAUGCUUGAGGAAUGGAGAACAAGAAGAAAAGCUGAUAUACAAGGUAAGGUCUUGUUGGCUCUGGGUUACAGGAGCUGUGGAAGUUCAGUUCAGUCUAAGACCUCUGCUAAGCUACUUCCUAGCUAAGUCUACUUCCAAGGCUAUUGAGUUAUCUCUGACUUUUUGGUGUUCAGUGGAGUAGUAGAGAGUUCACCAUUUGAUAGAGAGGAUUAGGAUUCAAAGGACUGAAGGCUGAAGACUUCAAUUUCAGAUUAUGCCCUUUGUUGGCUGGAGAUGCAAAGGCCAGGACUGUUAAACUUCUGUUUCUUUGAAUAGCAAGGUAGAAUCUCCCAGAAGAAAGAUAGUGGACAGGAACAAGUUAUUGCGUGGUCAGAUGAUCCCGUGCUUCAUCUUAGCCCAACUGAAAGCCAAGCCCUGGCCAUCGGCCUCAUCAGUCACUCAUAGGCUAUGAGAGAAGGCUGUGGCAGUUGAAAGUUAACAAAAGUGGGUUUUGUCAAUUAAGAUGGAUUACUUCAAAGAGAAUUCAUGUCAACGCAACCUCAAGCAGUCCUGUUUAGAGGCAGUCAGAGCUAAUAGUCAGGGGUUUACCAUACGUGUUGGUGUGCUCUGGAGUUUUGGGGGAGCAGUGCAUCACUGCCACAGGAGGAGGAGAGGAUUUCCUACGUGCCCUUAUAAUUCACCUUUGGGAUGAGGUGUUGGUGCUGUCGCUGUGAGCAGAGCGCUGUGCGUGACAAUGGAAUUACUGUACAAACACUGCUGGUUUCUUAACAUAAAAAAAUGCAGCGAGGAAUUUUUAGCACGUUGUCAUGCAGCACUCUGUUUCCUGGCUUGUACAUUCAAGCUGUGUAAUAAUAUUUAUAUACAAAUGCUGACUGUGAUUUUCCACCCUGGAAAAAGGAGAUGUCAUUUAAAAGUGCUGCGUAUGAUGUAAAGCAGAGACUUUUGACUUGCGUACUCGCAUAUGGUGUGGGUGUGAAUUUUAAUUGUUUGAAAAGGGAUUACUUAAAAAAAAAAUGCAGCAUUCUUGCUACAUAAGCACAUUCUACUGAAGUAAAGGUCAUUUUGCUCUUUAAAAGUUGCUCUUGGAAUGGCUGGGGAGUUCCUCGUGUUGUCUUUCCUACCGCCUCCCGAAAUUUCCUGAAAAAUAUGAAGUCAUUAACUGUUGGGCUGAAACAUCUCCUCAGCCCACAUCUGAUGCUGGGAUCCAAUAACGGGAGAGCAGCAGCCAUGGCUGGAUGUACGCUGGCACACGGAGGAGCAUUUUUCCCCACAGAGCUGUGCUAUCCGAUCUCCCCAGCACUGACACCUGUGUCCGAAGCACGCAGACUGAUCCUGCUGUGUGAAUGACCACAUUGAGUCUCUUAAGCUUUUCUGGAGCUGGGAUUUAUGAACAGUUCCAAGGCCAAACCUCUGCUUAUCGGCUCCAGCCAAGGAAGCUCUUCCGAAAUCCUCCCUAUUGCCAACAUGUUCCCCAUCCCUAUCUCCUUGGCCUUGGUUUUCAUGUCACAGUCUGUGCUCCUGAGAGUUGCUUGGGGGAUUGUAUGUAUUGAAAGUAAUGGCCCACCAAGUGGAAAUGUGCAAGUUCAUCUUCUGAUCCACACUUGACCAAAGAAGGUUGGAUCUCAGCUUUGUUUUAUCCUGUUACAGUGACAGAAUCCAGAUGCCAAGAGCUUAAAUUUCUCGAGUUCCUGUGUUCUCCCCUUGGAAUGCCAUGCAGUCAGGGCUGCCCUGCUGUGGGUGCUGCAGUUGGGGCUGCCCUCUGGGCUGCAGGUGGGCCUGUGCCUGCCUUGCUUCUGUGUCGUUCCCAGCAAAGACUGAUGCUCUUUACUGACAGCAAAACAGCUCCAGUGAAUGCUGAGGUAUUGACAUAAAGAAGCAGUGGGUGGUGCUGAACGAUUUAUGGAUGUGCUGUGAGAGAGAGACCACAGGUGACCCUCCUGGCUAUCUACCAGGGCUUCCAGUGGGACCCUCAGAUGGAUGGGAGCAGUACGGGCUGCCAGGGCAGUAGGAGCCCGUUUUGACACUUGUGCUUUUUUUUGUUGUACAUUUAAAUUACUGUAGCGUGGUGGGGGUCAGCCUCUUCUCCCAGGUAACAGCAAUAGUAUGAGUGAUAAUGGCCUUAAGUUUCACCAGGCAGUGUUCAGGUUGGAUAUAAGGAAGCAUUUCUUCUUCAAAGAGUGGUCAGCAGUGACACAGGUCUGCCCAGGGGAUGGGAAGUCACCAUCCUGGGAGGUGUUCCAGAAUCAUGGGGAUGUGGCACUGGGGGUUGUGGUCAGUGGGCAUGGUAGGGUGGGUCUGGGCCUGGAGAUCUGGGAGGUCUUUUCCAACCUGAAUGAUCCUAUGGUUCAGCAAGGGACAGGCACAGCUGGGCACUUGGGCCUGUGGCUGCUCCUCCAUCAGCUGGGUGGAACAUCUCUGCAGCCAGAAUGUGAUGUCAGUGCUACCUCUUCCUGCUGUGUGAGGGAGGGACGUGGGUGGCUGGCAGAGGAUCAGCAUUUUGUUGUGCCCAAAUAAUGGGAGAUUCACUCCGAAUAUCAGUAUAUAGCUGUAUCAGUUUUACAUAGAUUGCUUGAUGCUGAUUCCCUUUGAAACGGUAUUUUUAAAAUAAAGUAGAAAUAAAUAGAUUUACAUGCAGCCUCCCUGCUCCCAUGAAACCUGCAUGUGGGAGCUUUGGUACCGGGGGUCUGCACACACCUGCUGAGCUGGUAAUUGGCCAGAGCCUGGGGCACUACCUCUGCUGGGAAAGGGAUCUGUGCUGCAGGGAGAAAAAGGGUGCCUGAAAAGAGACCCCCAUUCACAGCUCGUUUGGACAAGCUGUCUCCGAUGGGGAUUUUAUCCUGAGCUGCGCAGUGGCUGCUGCUUUUUGCAGGCAGUGCAGCGUGGCUGUAGCAGCCCCGGCCGGUGGGGCACCGGCAGCCGCCACUUCCUUCCCCAACACUGUCAAAAGCAGCUUUAAAUCGGAUUAGGAUUUUAACAAACACUUCAUGGUUUGCUCUCUGCAGGGAGGAUCAAAGCCCGGGGAGGGCCCUUCAGCUGUUUGCUUUUCCUUUAUGCAGAAACUUUACCGUGGCUGCCCUAAAAACUCCACCAGACACAUUCAAGAAUCCCUCCUCAGAAAAGCAAAUGACUUCCCACAGCCUAAAGUAAGGUGCUGGUUACCUGCUGGCGUUUAUCCCCCUCUGCUUGCAGCUGCCCUGGCUGAGCGCAGCAGGAGAGCCUGGAGUGAUGGGGCAUCACUGCUGGGAUGGGGCUGCUGCACGGCACAGGUGGGUACACGGCCUCUCAUUUGGUUUUUGUUUUUUUUUUUUUUUAAACCUUUUGGACAUCUUUUCUAAGCCAGAAGCAGUUUGUAUGUGCAUUGCUGCUUAGAACGUCCUGGGGCUUCUCCUGCUGGGAGGAAGCUCCAAGAGUUAAAGCUGCUUAGCAGCAGAAUUCUUUGAAAAACCUUAAAAGGAGAGAAUAAAUAGUUCUGAGGUGAAAAUACAGCACUGAGUGUGGAUCUCUGGCUCCUCCCUGCUGGUGCAUGGGAUGGUUUCUGACACCAGUUGCUUGGGACUGCUGAAUCUGAGAGUUCUGAGCUGUAGUGCUGCAUUGACACAGCCCUCAAGGCAUGGAGGUCCAUGGGAGGGCCUGGACAGCAUGAGCCCACCUGUCUGAGCCAUGCCAAUGUGCCAAGGGGUGUCUGCAAGGCUGGGCUCAGGUCCCACCAUUGGCUGGUAGAUGGCAGCCUGUUUUCUCCUCUCUGCAGAGUGGUUUGGGUCAGAUAAUGGACUAAAUGCAGAAUGAGGAUCGAACCACACACCACUGUAUGCUUUGUAGGUGAUGCUUUGGGGACAAUCAUUCAUUUGAGAUGUUGGUACAGCAGGGAAUGUUUUUCAGGCAGAGCAUAUUGUGGGAAAGAGGCUCAGAACAGAUGUACUCAUAGCUGAUUCCAUUUAUCAUAUUAAAAAUAAAGAAAAGACUAUUUCGGCUCAUUUUCUGCUUAUUAGUUCAAAUAAACAGCUUUUCUAAUCAAUGUGUAUGGCAAACACAAUGCCUUCAUAAUUGGCAGUAGUGGUUCCAAAAUUAAUGAGACGGUCCUUGUUUAUUCUCUGGUAACGAGUCAGACAGUUAAUGCACUGCUCUAAUCCUGCCCUUCUCCUAUUCCUUUGGGUACAGGGAAAAAUUAUGCUCUUGUUUUAAGAUUUAAAGAGUUUGAGGGAUUUUCUUCCCCAUCCAUUUGAAUGAACACAGCCAGAAGUGGGAGCGGCCGCACUGAGCACCUGAGCAGCACUGUGGGAUCUUCUGCUCUCAUUUGUCCAAAGGGCUUCAUUGAUCCUUACUUCCCUUCCAAGAAUGCUGAUCUGAUUUAUGAAGUGAUAGAAGAGGCCAGGAGAAUAAUUUUACCUAUGAGAGCAUAGUGCUGUCCAAGUAAUUGCCCAGGAAAAGAGUAGAUCUGCUGCUGCAGAUGUUUCUCAUCUGGAAUACGGACCCAUUUUAGCCAUUUUGGGGGAUUACUGUUUAUUUUGAUGCUUUUUUAUACUGCAAUUACCAGGAAGGAAGCGAUGUGCAAGAAUGUAUAUAUUUCAGUAACAAUUAGGGGGUUUAACCCCUUUCUCCCCCUCUGCUCUCAAUAUUUGUGAGCUCUUGGUUCAGUUCUUUCAGGGGGAGCAGAACCCCAUAGUGCUGUGAGGUUCUGCUGCUGCCCAUCACUGCUGGAGCCGAACAACCCGCUGGUUUGGGGACGCCUUAAUGCUCAUUUUCUGUGUGACUAAUGAGGACCUGUUGGCUUUUUUUGCCACCUAGUGAUUCUGUCCCUGCAUUACUGUGAGGGGUUGGGCUGUGCAGGAAGGAGCCCCGCGCUGCCACCUCCCUGGCCAGAAGUGCUCAGUCUGUCAGAGGUGCCUUGCAGGAAUGGAAUGAAUUGAGCCCUGCUCUGUUUUGCUAAAGAGGUACAGAGCAAGGCAGCAAACCUGAGGUAUGCUGAAUGGGAAGAAAUAAGCUUACAUCAAUAUGUUUGGAUCUGGAGCUGUUUGUGACCAGGAUUUCAAGCCUGACAAAUCCUUUACAAAGAUGCUGAACUUGCUGAUACGUUGCACAGGGAGAUGCAUGGUCACACUGCGGGCAGAGCUGCAGAUCUGUUAGCUGCACAUGGAGUAGUUUGUGCUCUGGGCCUGCAGCUUUCCAUGCUCUGAGACACCGUAGCAAUCACUCUGUGAUUGUGACCAUCAUGAUUAUGACCAUCACUUCUGAGGAUGGACGUACUUGCCAUUUUAACUGAGGGGAAUAGACAAGCUGUGGGGGGCUAACCACAUUUUUGAUGGUCCUUGCUCUUACCAGUUUCAUAUUUAUGACUUUUGUUUAUCUUGCAGCACUAUUCAAAUUUAUCAGCACCAAAAGACACCUGCAGAGAGGAGACAGAGGCCCGGCAGCAUGCUGGCUGUGUCCCACUGUGGUGCUGUGGGAUGGGAGCUGAUGGGAGCCGGGUCUGCUGAUGUUAGGAGCUCUCCCUUCCCCACACAGCUCCAGCCCUGGCUUGACAAAGCCCUGCUGUAAUGCAGUUGUUGUGCUCCGAGGGGAGCAGGAAGGUGGGUGGAUUAGGAAAAAUGUCAUAUUAGUGAUUUUUUUUCCACCGAGCCAUGUCGCACUUCUUGGCACCAUGGCCUCUCGGCUUUCCAGGCUGCUCGCCCAGCACCCUGUGAGCAGAGCCCACCACUGCCCAUGUGGCUGUGGGUCCAGGGCUGCUCACUGCUUGUGCUUGGGGGGCUGUGGGGCUGGGAACUCUGCAGGGCCUUGUAGUCGUUAUGAGUGAUAGGAUGAAAAGCGAUGGCCUCACAUUUCACCAGGGAAGGGUCAAGUUGGGUAUUAGGAACAAUUUCUUCUCCAAAGAGCAGUCAGGUGCCCAGGAAUGUGGGGGAGUCCCCAUCCCAGGAGGUGUUCCAGAGCGUGGAGAUGUAGCACUGGGAAACACGGUCAGUGGGCAUGGUGAGGUGGGCUGGGGUUGGGCUUGGGGAUCUUUGAGGUCUUUUCCAGCCUCAUUGAUUCUAUGAUGGUUGCUGUGUUUGGCAGACCCAUGCAGCAUGUAAUGCGUUACCUUUCGGUACCUGGCUGUGGCAUCCAGACCUCCCAGCAUGUCAUAAUCCACAGAUGGAAAAGUGGCACUUAAAAUGAAUUUAUUCAGGUGGGAGCACUAUAAAACAUAAAAAUAAGGCUUUUGACUCACUGCACAUGCAUCUGAGUGUCAAUGAAAAGCUCUGUUUGACUGCAGAGCCAGAUUCUCAGAAGUGAUGUGCGACAUGGGCUGGAACAAGGGCAGCAGAUCAGGGCAGGGUGUGAGGAAGGCAGAACCCGAAUGAGACGUCUCGUGGGAUUAAUGCUAACUUCUACUUUGCACACUGCUGUUUUCCUCCCUUUUCUCCCCAACACGCCGUGAAACAACAGCAGAGCCGCCGGCAGAGCGAGUGGGCGCGUUUUCCCUUUGCUUAUUUAAUUUGAGGCUGUCCUUAAACAUAAGGUCAUUUUACAGCCUGCUCGAGGGCUGCCAGGCGCAGGAAGCUACCUUGCGAGGAAGGAACUGGCCCGUUCUGUCUAAAUAUUGUCGAUUGUGUACCGAACAGAGACGGCAGCCUGAGGAGCCCAAAUAGUGGCUCUUUGUGCCUCCGGUCGCCUCCUGCCAAAGUACUUUCCAUAAUUAGGCGUAAAACAUAUUUACAUUCCUGUUGUCUUUGGUUGUGGGCACACACCUGUAUGUGUGUGUGUAGAGGUGCAGGCAUUCGUAGUCCUGCGUUCAGAAACUGCCCUGUGCCUGUGAGAGUUGCUGCAGUGACGGAUGUGUGUAUCUGGGCUGUGAGCGAGUGGGGGAUGCCCCGUGUGAGAGGCAGAGGAAACCCAUUGGGCUCAUCCCUCUGCCACGCAUGGGUGUAACCCCCAUGUAGAGAGAUGCUGCCUUUGUCUGAAUGGGAAGGCCCUGGCUGAGUGCUCCCAUUUAAAAUUCUUUGGUGUUUGCAUGGAAACCAGAAAAAUGGGCUUAAGUCAAGAAUGCAAUAACCUCACUUAGGAGUGCUCUCUGCAGCAGGCACUCAUCGCUCGCAGCCUUUCUGCUUGCACGAAGAUAAAUGGUGGAAUAAAGUACUGCGUAUAGCUGUAUCUCCAGCAUAUUUAUAACAGAGUGGUUGAUGUACAACAGCUUCCCAGCAUGUGUUGUUCCCCUUCCCUCCAUGAUAACUGGUAGCAGACAUUGAUUAGUUCAGUCUGGGGGGGAAAAUGUCGUGCAGGACAACUGGAUCCUUUAGAGGAGAUUCCUGAAAGGAGUCCAAGGAGCGCUGCGUGGUCACGUGGCAUUGGCUCCUUGCCUGCUUUCAGCUGCACAGCUUCAUUAGAACACCACCAAACAUACAUUAAUUACUCUUCUCUCAUCACUUCCCUGCAUGAGCAGCAGUGCAACUUCCACUUCCAUGCAAUCAGGGUGGAGAAGAGAGCUGCUCGGUGUGAUGUGUGCACAGGGGUACGUGCUCCAUCCUCUGGGUUGGGGCUGAUGUAUGGCUAUUGGUGGCAGCUGGGAGCUGUGUGGAGCUGGGCAGUGUAGGGAACUCCUGCUCGGUGUGCUCCUGGGGUGUUGCAUGGAGCAUGGUGCUGGUUCCUGCUGCCCCUGCCUGCCCGGGGAAGUGUGCCACUGGCACUUGGGAUCUCUGCUCUCAUUGUAGAGCUCCAAGCCGGAUUUGAGCUUUCCCAAGCUUGCCAUAGCUCCAGGUGCUACAGGGAUUUCCAGCCCACCUCUGUGUGGAGUCUCCUCUGAUGGAUGUUCCUUAGAGAGCUCCAAACAGGUGCUCUCAAAUGGCCACGUGUGGGCUCCUCUCUGUAGGAAGUCACGGGGCUGUCGAUGUGCUGGGGCAGAUCCCUGCUCCUGCUGGGGGACGACUUAGGAUGGCUCUGCAGUGCCUUCCAAGCACCGAGCCAUGCCUGCUCUUGCUGGGAGUGCACUUCUGUUCCGGAUGCCUCCUGCGCUUUCAGGCGCUUAAUGGAAAUGGCAGUGCUGCUCUUGGAGGGCAGGCCGGAAAGUUUCUGCGGACUUGUCCAUGUGCCAGAGAGACAUUUUUGUCGGGCGGAAGCUGAUUUCCAUUAUGUCUUUGUCAGACUUUGCAGCCAUAGAGGGGAAUUUGGGGCUUUCUGUGUCAGAGCACUGUAUGAAUGUUACCUGAGGCCUUUACCUCCCCAUAACACUGCGGUUCUGUGCUGUGCAUGGGAAGCAUCUGUCCGGGUGUUAAGCAGGGGUAGCUCAGUACACGCACUGGAAUCCUUGCACCUCUUCAUGUUUUGCUGGCUCUUUGAGGUACUGGAUUCUCAGGAGCGCUGUGGUUUGGCCCCUCUGGUAAUAUGUUUGUCCUUUGUUAUGAUACAUCUGUCUUUAGAACAAAGUUUCCUCUUUAUCUCAGGUUUAAAGUGAAAAACUCGAGGUUUGGAAGCGCAUUAGUUUCCUGUUCCAGAUGUAUCUGCAUUCAGAUCCGGGAACAGAGGUUUGGCUGUAAUAAAAUAAGCAAAAACACACCCACAACCACACUAAAUCGGUCUUGCAGGUAAAAAGGAAAAACAUACCCAGAAAACAAUAUUUGCAAAGCCCAUCAAGCAGUUUUCAGGGCAGCUCUGCUUAUUUCAGAAUAACUCCUACUAAUGGGCAGCUUUUAAAAAGAACCAAACCCAAACCAACCGCAGACCCCCCCAGUGAACACCACGGACUCAGCAUGGUGUAGCUCCUGCCCAAACAUCUGUUCCCCCGGUGCUGAGAGGUCCCCUUGCGAUGAGUUCAUGUGAUUCUCUACACAGAGGUUAAGUAAAGUUGAGAGGCUCCCAUCAGUGGCUUCGUGCCAUGGAGGCCAGAUCUGCAAAAAGAGUUUCACUGCAGAUAUGUCCGGUUCUAAUUCAGAGAAGAACUCAGGAGGGAAAAAAACAUCACCUAAGCUGGGCUUUAGUGCUGUGCUGUUUGGUAUUGGAGGAAGAUGCUUCAGUAUGGAAAGUGGAACUGGGGCAAAGUGGUGCUCCCGGGCGGUAGGAGCUGGCUGGGCGGUGUGCUCUGUGUCCUCCUCCUUCUGCUGACAGCUUUGCUGUCUGCCUGCUGGUGGGACUUCCAGCAAGGAGCUCAGUUUGGUGAACACAGAAUGCACAGCUCAUCGUAACUUUGGUCAAGAGGAGCUGCACUGUCUCCUUGGUUCAGGAAAUAUCCACUGUGUACAAUCCUACAGCAGUGAUUCAGUAUUAGGAGCUGUGGAUGCAGAAUUAUAUGGCUGUGUGUAACACUGUCUGUGGUGUUCCUCUGACAAGCAGACCCAACAACCUCCUGUCCCAAUCCCAAAGCACAAAUAAUAUCUACUGUGUAGAACAGGUCAUGUUUGUACCAUCCUUCUUGGCACGUGUGGUGAGGGUGGGUCACUGGGGUUUGUCCCCACCCUGCCCAGCACAGCCCACGGGGCACCUCCAUCCCAAACAGAGCCACCUGGGAUGUACCUCAGUGUCUGAAGAUGCAGUUAGAAUUCAGGGGUUAGAGUGCAUAAGAUUUAAACCUGUCAUGUCUUUUUAUUUGCCUGCAUUGGCUCAUCUUUAGUUUUUUUCCGCCGGUUAAUUUUUGGAUUUGAGGCUGCUUAUUUUCAUUUGCUUUGUCCUAUCCAUUAAGGAUGGAAGCCACGUUAAGACCUAGAUAAAGGUUUUAUUGCAGCCAUUGAGCCCUGCUUUUGGGACGUCUCCUCCUCCCGUAUUUCAAAAUGAAGCUAUGGAAGGGAGCACCAGGGUUUGUUUAAACGCAGAAGAUGCAGAACUGAAACCGAAGCCUCAGUGCAUGGAGUUACUAACACAGUCCAUCUUGUACCUAGCAGUGACUUCAAAGUGUCUGCAUGUCCUUUUCAGAAGCAGUGCGCUCUCUGCUGAAGCCCAGUCCUUGCAGUGUGACUAAUUUUGGCUGCGCAGUUGCCUUUGGCUAAUCCAAGCAAAUUGGGCUGUGUUGUAUUUUGACAUGGGGAGAGGCCAAAUUAAGGACCCCAGGUCAGAGGCAGGGACAGGAGCUGGGGGUGAACCUCUCAGCAGGCAGCUCCCUCCCACCUGCUCCCUGGGAUUGGGUCUUUUCUCCACUGCCACCUAUUGGAGCUGCCCUGGCCCCGAGCGCUGCUGCGCCCUGCAUGGCCCUGUGGGGAUGGGGGUGCGGCUGCUGCGUGCUGUGCUGUACGCCUGGUUUGGGAGGGUUACUGACAAACUGCAUCCAUGCUUUUACUUUCCUGCCCUGUCUCCUCAGUGUCGGCUUUUGGCUCCUCUGGUCCCACAUCCUGCGGGGCUGCAGUUCAUACCGAGGAGCGCGAGCAUCAAAGAGGAGAUGGUGAAUAAGAAACCGCUUUAUGACAUGUCUUCAAAGUGCCUUUUUAAAAGUUCAAAGGACAAGAGGGAAGGAGGGAAUAAAAAUCAAAGGAAGAUCUGGGGGAGAGAAAUUAAAGCCUCAGAGGAACUUUAUGGCGUGUUCUAUGUAACACUUUCAGUGCCGAAAUCAGGGCUGCUCCUGGCAGUGGUGUCAGCACCCAGCAGUGCCUGCAGACCUCCUGCUCUGCUCCAAAGCACCUGCAGCUGUGCGCUCCUAAAUGAACUUCAUUCCAGAUCCACGCUUCCCAUUCUCUUGCCUCCAGGCCAAGGGGAGGAUGCUGGCUCUGCACUGCCUGGGAGGGCUGGGGUCUGAGCUAAAUCACAGCUCCGAUCUGCUGUCAUCUCCACAGGUUGGAGAUGCCCAUCUCUGAGAGCCCACAGCUCCCGGACCAGGAGAUGAUUUGCCAUCCUUGGAAGCCUUCUGGGUAAUUGGGCUCAUCUCUAUUGACAGCUCUUUCCUCUUGCUUCUUUUUCUUCCCACAAAAGCAUGUUGCUCUCUUCUCUUCCUUCCUCCUACUGCAGGAUCUCACCAUCUAGUGUGUGCUUGGGAGAGCUCCAUCUCUGUUAAGGGAAAAGGACUUUUCCUCAUGAGAAGAGGUCAUGGCUCUGUCUGUAGGCUGGAGAAGAGGUGAAGCAGGCUGUCUGUGUGGAUGCCUCAUGUGCCAUCUAGGGACUCUGCUGUGCUUACAUAGACUGGGAGGAAACCCAGAUGAGUGAGUUAUAUGCUUGUUAAUGUUCAUUAGGCUCUUGGUCUCACAAUUUUCCUGCUUCUUUCUGCCUGUUUUAAAAAGCCCACAUGUUGCUGGGCAUGGAGAUGGAGUGGAAGCAACUCACUGCUGCAGGGAGUGGGGUCCAGAGUUGUAGCAAACAGGGCAGGGACGUGCUCUGGGAGAAACAGAGCAAUGGCUUUGCUGAUUUGUGUUGCCAUUUUGUGAGUUUUCAGGCUCGUGUGUUCAAAUGGAAGCAGAAAUCCUGGGAUACCUAAUUAAUUUUCUGAGAAAAGAGCAGGUGUCUGAGCAGGGCUGAAGGGUUCCUGCCUGGGGAGCUCCUCUGUGAACAUGAGCAGCCCGUGGUUCUGUUGCUGGCCAUGUCUGAACCAGGAAAUGCAUUUCACACUUAGGUGUAAUGACAUUUCCUCCUUCGAUUGCUGCUUUGAUUUGUGGAGCGCCCUGCUUCUCAGUCAGUCCUCCUCCCCGCCAGGGCAGCUCACCCAAAUGCAGCUCUGUUAAUACGGAUGCUCUCUGGGGUUGCUGCUCAAGGGAAGUCAGACACUGCUGCAGAACAGUCCUCAUUCUGCCUUUCCGCAGUACCUUACGGGGCACCCUGCUGUGCUCCCUGCUGUGGGCGAUCAUCCACAGACAGUCAGCAGCACUGCAGCUCUGGGGGACAGCCUUCCCUGUGUGCUGUGCUGCUGUGGAGGUCUCAAACCUCAGUGUGUGGGUGGUGUUCUAGAGAACAACUGGUGCAAGGAACACAUUCAGUGCCUUGUCUUCUUCUUCCUAAUGUUCCCUAAAUAUUGCUGGUAAGAUUACCUCACAGGGGGAUUCCCCAGCAUCUGCUCUCCCUCUGUCCCCUUACAGCGUGCAUAUCGCAGGAUGUGAUGCUGUCGGGGAGGUCCCUGAUAGCUUCAUGUGAACCAGGAGCCCCGUGAUUUCCACUCACCUCGCCCAAGGGCUGGAAAUAGAAAGGGUUUUUCUGCACUCCCCCACACUGUGCUACAGACAGCGACGUGGGCUGCUGUGGGAACGCUCCCGGUGCUGGGGUUUGUGUUCCCUGGGGGGAGCAGCAGUCAGUCAGCAGAGCUGAUGUCAGCUCUUCCCUCUGACCAUCAGAUGUGGAUCCUGUCUGUUGUCACAGCUGGUGACACCCUGAGAGGAGCAUUUGUGUCACAGGGCAGAACUGCUCGCUGCUGGGGCAGAACGAAGAUGCAGUGCUCUGUGGCAGCACAGCAGUGCUUUGGGAAGGUGGCUGGGAUGCUGGGUGGAGAGACUUCUGUAGUUGGGCAGUGCUCUGUAGUGUCCACCAGAAUGAGGGGGGAGGAUGCAGGCAGAGGGCUGGAGCCUUUGGGGUGAUUUGAGCCCUGCCUGUGAGCAACGGGCAACCACUGUAGUAAUGGCACAGGUGUUUCCCAUGAGGGUGGGUCCUCCUGCCUGGAGGCAGUGCUGCAGCUGAAGGGGUGCUGUGCCCUCACAGCGGUGCAGUGCAGUGCCAACAGCUCCAUGAAGAGGAUAAAGGUGCUCUUUUGUUCUUCCAAGCUAAAAGCUGAUGGCUGUCAGUUUAAAUCUCAGUUCCUGCCCUCCACCUGCUGCAGGUGGGCUGCUGGCUGCCUCCCCCUCAGGUUUAUGUGGUUUUCCAUUCUAUUUUGUGUUUGUGAGCGUUGCUAAGAGAUGGUUCCCCACAGAAGCUGCUAGACGUACCCAGCUGCAAAACUGGUGUCGAAGGGAGGGGGAACUCCCUGCAAGGCAAACCUCUGCAGCACUGAGGAGAAUCUGGGACACCUCACUCGGAUAUAUAUGGGCACGUGGAGCAGAAACGCAGUUUAUUGCUGUUUGUCAGUGGAGGUCGCGGGCUGCAGCGACAGAGGUGCUGUGGCCGAUGCUCAGUGCAGAGCAGGGAUGGGGACGCAGUGCUGCCCCGCUCAGCACCACGGCUGCUCCCCGCACUCACUGCUCCCGACGCUGUUUUUGUCUGCUCUGCUCAGACUGCAAAUGGUUAUGCAAAUUCCUGAAUAUUUUCCUACUUCCUUUUUCAGAUGUCUAACAUUAUGUAUUAUUUUCUGAUACUUACCUAAACCGGGAAAUCUGUUUUCCAUCUCAUUUCAGCCAAGGUUUUCUUUCUAACCAGCCGUCCCCAGCAUUUUCCUUUAACACUUUGGGUUUGCUGAGUGAACUUUGCAAUAUGAGGAUAAAUGAAAGUGAAAAUGCAUUGCUUGUCACAUACUUGCUGUUUAGAGAGGGUUUGUUUUUUUUCCCCUCUGGAUUUGAAGAGAGAGAUAUAAAUCAUUGCUUUAAAAACAGGGUAAUUUAACAAGAUUAUAGGAGAGAGAAAAUCCACUUCCUACCCAAAGUAACAGUCUCUUAGCUUUCUCCACCUACACAAGCCAUAUGCAUCCUCCGAGCCGCCUGAGAUCCUCUUUUGUGUUUUUCUGGCAGGAGAGUGGUAUCAUAAUUAAAGUCCAUAUGCAACGCUUUCUCUGUGGAGCCCACACUGGUCUUUUAAUUACUCUGUAUUCGGUCAGAGCGUCGCCAUCUCUCGGCCCCCAGCCUGCUCUGCUGUGUUUGAGAGGUCCCAGAGCCGAAGGGAGGUUAGGAGCUCCAAGUCCCGGCUCAGAGGCUUUUGCUGCAGCGUUGCUUUUGUUAUCAUCUCCCUUUUUAACAACAGAGCCGAUGGUACCAUUCUACAUAUUAAGGAGCAGUGUGAGCUGGAGUCGUUCUGUCCCUCGGUAGGGGUGUGUUAAAGAUGUGGUGCUUCGAGCAGCCGCAGCAGCACCACCUGAGCAGACACUGCACAAAACUCUGCUGAACUCUCACAGCCAGCUGUGUGGUUGCUCUUCUUGCUUGGAUCUGGGCUCCCCACCAGGCACAGGACCUGCAAUCGAGGGUGCUUUCAACAACCUCGUCACAUAACAAACGUCACAUGUGCAUUGGAUGCGAGGAGCCAGAGCUCCAAAAUAAUUCUUCUGAAACAAACUUCGGCAUCGCGGUGGUUCUCAGCUGACCCAUAAUGUGUCCCAGGCCUUCCCAGUGCUGAGCUGCAGGAUGGGCUUCCAGUAAUGAGUUCUCAAUGAAGUGUUUUUCUAAUUAUAGCAAAUUAUUUUUACAAACAUUUUCCUGGGAAGAGAGUCUGAAAUUAGAGCCAAAAAGGUGGAAGGCUGAGAGGUAGGCAGUGCCUGAAAUAAAACAUUGACUGCAUGCUAAUUUUUCCUUAUUACUAUCAGGUCAGAUAGUUCUUCAAAUGCAGAACAACACAUUUCCGAGCUCCUCAGAUAAAGCUGAUGAGUGCUGCUGGAAGACUAUGACUGUUGGUUUGUGCACUACUGGCCCUCAAGCUUCAUGUUAAUGAGUUGUCAUGAACUCUGUUCAAACACAGCCGGCUCGUGGCUUUGUAAGGCUGGAGCAGCCCUGAAUGGGGACACCCCUCUGCUGCCACCCUGCAGUGCAGGGCUGCCUGGCACGGAGCUGGGGCUGCUCCCAGAGCCAGGACAGAGAAUAGCUCCCGGCCUGAGGGCUGCAGGUCAGCCUGCCCCAAUGGGAAGGAUGUCAGAUCUGCUUUCCCAUCUCAGUGUUGCAACCUAUCUAAAUGUCACGACUUCUGCUCUUUUUCUGGAGCAAACUUACUUUCCUGUUUACAGAUGUUCUUAGGUUUUUUUUGGGGGGGAAAGCGAGCUAUUAUUAGCAAUCACUAACAAAAUCCACCUUUGGAUUUUGGUGUAAAAAUCCACCUCUGGAGGUACUGUGCCAUAGAAAUGCAAAGUUCAUAUCAAUGUAGGCAGCUUGGCUGCUCGGUGCUGCUGCUUUCCAGAAGAGGUUUCCAGCCUGCUGGUGCUGCAGAGUGCUGUGUGUGUGCCAUUCCCAUGGCUCCUACGAUCAGCUGGAUAGUUUAAUUAAAGUUAAUCAUGGAAAGAUCCAUGACACUUGGAUAUAGGUGGGGUGGGCUAAGUAUAGCCGGUUAAUUGCCUUACUGCCAACCUGACUGUAGGCUAUUGUUCACCAGAAAGGAGUUAGUUAAUUUUUUCUGCAACAAAACAAAACAAAACAAAACAAAAAAUCCUCCCCAGAUCCCAGAGCCCAGCCCAGCAGCCGGGCUCACCUCAGCUCAGCCAUUGGCACUGCAGUGUGGUCGGUGGGGUUGGUGGAGGGCUCCGCAGGUUGUCCAAAUGGGAGUUGUUGGUACCACAUGUAGGGCACAGAGCAGAGGUGGUCUGGGAAGGAAUGCGGGCAAUGAAUGUUGUAUGGCGUGCAUAGCUGCUUUGUGAGGAAUUUGAGAUUAAACUGCCCUGGGUGGUGGAUACUCAUCUGGAUGCCUGUAGUGACCGCGCUGUCUGAGCGGACUCCUCCGAGCUCGCCCUGGUUGCUCUCAUGAAGCACCUAAGGGUUAAAGACGGAUUGCUGCCCUCUCCCCCCACCCGUAAAGGUAAUUAUACCACCAUCUAUUUAGCUGCUGAAGAAUUUGCCAUUGAGUAGAUAGGGCCCUGCUUCACCAGAGCCCUUCAGCCGCCCAACAAUAUCGCAUUACCCAGAUUGUAUAAAGAGCACGAACGAUUUCCGCUCGCGGAUCUAUAAUGGAGGUAUCUCUUUACAAAGGCCCUACUUCAGGCCAGCCGGUGUGUGCCUUGGCCUGUAGGCCAAAAGCCUCCUGUUUACAAUUUCCCUAUUCCUGUUUUUAAUGUUGUUCUGAGAGCAGCCACAAAGGGCCAGUUUUGUCCAGCAGGAACAAGGGAGCUAUUAGAGAGGGACGGAGGAAGGAAGGAAGGGAGAUCCAAAAGGAGCAGCCCAGGAGGGAUUAGCAUACACAGCUGUUCCCCGAGGGACAGGAGCUUUAUGCUUUUUAUAAUUUCCCUCUCAUUUACAUUUUUUAAUAUCUCGUUUCCUCCUUUCUGCACCCCCUCCCCCCUUCCUUCAGGACCAUCUGCCCGUUUUAUUGCAGUUUUGUUUUUCAGCGCGCCCAGCGCCGCGUGCUCCCCGGCUCCAAGGAUCAGCCCCAGUGCCGGCAUCAGCUGCAGAUCAUUGCUCACCCCGAUCCCCCUCUGCCCGCUGUUCACCUUACAGCCAUGUCUGUCCAUGCAGCCCCGAUGUCCCUUCCUGGUGGCAGCGGAGCAGUGGGUCGCGCCGCGCCUGUGCUGGCGAUCAGCGAUCAGCCAAGGCAGAGAGCUCUGUCCCUGAAUGCGCAUUGUUCUCACAGAUCCCAGCACCAGAGGGGAGAAUAGUUGAACUGUUUACAAUAUUGUUUCAUAGACUGCUAAAAAGUGGCCGUCUGUUUUUCAGAAGUGCAAUGAAACAUUUAUGAGUGCAGGACUUCCUCCAGCCCCGCUGCGGAGCUGUGGCUGCCCUGUGCCCCACACUGCUGGCUGAGGGGCGGUGGGAUACACACACCUCACUGCUCCCACCCUUCUCCUGCAGGGCUGUUCCAGGUGCCUGGUUUGCAGGCACAGAGCCGUGGCACCUGGCGGGACUGCUUCAGAGCUACAAAGUGCUCCUGCUGCCUCUGCCUGUGACAAUUCAUGUGAGCCAUCCUCCAUCCAUGCAGGGAGGGUGGUGAGGUGCUGGCAGUGCUGUCCAGAGCUGUGCUGCCCCAUCCCUGGAGAUGCCCAAGGCCAUGGAUGGGCCCUGGUCAGCCUGAGCUGGGGGGCAACCAGCCCAUGUUGGGGGUGGGGCUGGGGGUGCUGCAAGGGCCCUUCUAACCUGGGUUGGAUUCGGAUGAUGCCUUCCAACCCAGGCCAUUCUAUGACUCUAUCAUCUGCCUCCGUAAGUUUACAGCUCCGUGUUGGUUAUUUCCAGCACCACAGGCAGUUCUUCACGUGGGAGUUGCAGCAGGUCCUUCCAAAGAGUGACAUGUUUUUUUCCCAUGAAGAGACUUCCACACAGGAUCACUCCGUAGCUCAUUAAGGUCAUUACAAAUGUUUAUUUUUAGGCAGAUGGAUGCUUUAACCAGAAUUGUAAUCCAGUCAUAGCUAAGUGCAGGAACAAGUCAGAAUUUGGGUUUUACUGUAAUGGUUAUGAAUGUUUCACUGUGUCUUCAGCAUAAGGGAUCCCAUUGUGCAUAUUUAGGAUGUCUGCAGCUUUUACGUGGUUUCGUCUACAUUUCUCAGGAUUUAAUAUUUGAAGUUCCUUCUAGGGAUGUAUUAGAGGAAAAGCUGGAUUUGAACUCCAGUCAGAAAGUUUUCACAUAUUCAGAAUUACACAGUGCUUAUAAAAGCAGUUCGCUUCUGUGGGGUAUGGUUAAUCCAUCUAUCUCCUGGCAUGGGGCACUCAUCCCAUUCCACAGGGCUGGGAUGGGAGCGGGGCCGUGGUUAGCGUCCUCCCAGCCACCCGGGGCUGUCCAGCCUAAGCCCUUCCUUCCUGCCCCGAGUGGAAUUAUCAUUAACUCAUAACUUGUUUUCAAGAAGAACAUUUUUUUUUUUUUUGUAGACUGUGGAGUUCUUCCAAGAAUUUUUCAAUUUCCACAGAUGAAAAUAUAGUCUAAACCAGAUGCCAGCUGAAACGCACUCACUUCGUACCACCUCGCCAAGGCAGCGCGCCACGGGCUCAGCAAUGUGACCUUUAAAAUAGCCUUUCUAGAACACACUGCUAAGAGCACUUUCUAAAAAGCCACAAUUGCAGCUACUCUUAUUACUCAUAAUGUCUUUGAUGGAGAGGAAUACUCAGGGAACUUCAGCUUCAGCAACCCGGUAGAGUCAGUUCUGUGCAGCGGAGGCUUCCUUCGUGGCAUUACAGACUUGAGACCACGAUGAGAGCGUUGGUGAUAAUGAACAUUUCCUAAAGCAUUACUUGUAUAAGAUUAAAAUGAAAUAAAAGCAGUGAAACCUUUGCUUUGCCCAUGUGAAAGAAUGGCUCUGCCACUUAGCCAUUCGUUCCUAGAAGUGGAUACGUAUACCUGUGCCUUCUCCAUGUAUUUGUAAGUCUAACAAAUACUAUACACACAAAUAUACACCAAUGUUAUGCAAAAUGCAUUCAGGCAAUGUAUUUCAAAUCAAUGAAUAUUUUGAGUCAUCAGCCUAAAUGGUGUUUGUAGAUGCAUAAUUGCACGCUACUUUCUGGGAUUUUUUGUAGUAUUCUGAGUGGCGUUGAGCCGCCACUUCAUUAAAACUGUCCCUUGGGAUCCAAUUCUUUGGGUUUGUUUUUGCAUGUGCCAGGAAAUUCGGACCCUGAUUUCUGUAUGGCCACCACUGCCAUGCUGGUGCACUGCCGGCCGGCGGCACUGUGUGGCACUGCAUGGCCCUGGUGGGCACAGGGAGCAGAAUAACAUGAGAUCCAGUUUGCUUUGGUCGGUCCAGGAGAGACUUCACAGCAGCAGUGAUGGGACACUUUAGAGUUGGCUGAGUGGAGUUUUCCUAUCAUUUCUGAACCUUCUGUCCUUAAACUGAUUCAACUAAAUAUGUGACAUUUUGAGGAAAACUUGCCCUGUGUCUUUAGCUUCUUUCAUACCAGACAGGGUGGGAACAAGAUAAGUUUGCCUUAAAAGCCUUUGUUUUCACUCACUUCUCUACUUGCUUGGUGUCCCAACACACUGGUAUUCAGAUUUGUCACCUCACAGGGCCUUGGUUCUGCCAGAACUCCUGCCUCUGGCUACCAGCAGUGGGAUAUUGAAGGGUUUGAGCUGCAGUCAUCAAGCAGCAACAAACUUACUGCUUUAAUCAGCUCCUUUCCAUGCGAGAUACAACUUGCUGAGCUCCGUGGUUCCUAGAGGUAAUGCCUCAUUUCCAAAAACUCCUGUUUCUGACCAUUGCUGUGGUUUCCCUGGAGUGGGACAGCCAUCCUUGCUCAGUCCCUGCCCCAUCAUUGCCCUGCCCAGCAAUACAGGGCCAGAAGCCCCACUCCCACUUCUCCUUGCACAGCCUUUGGUGGCUCAUGGGACUGCGCUGGCACUGCUGCUCUGUGCCAUGUGGUGACAGGGCUGUUAUUCCAGAGCAACCGGAUGGGGACCACCAAUUUAGUUCUCACAGACCAUGGCUUCUGGCUCUUCGAGAGCAUUGUUUUGACACUGGCAGGAAAAAAUUAGGCCAUUGUCUUUGCUCCCAUGAAAUUUCCUGUCCUCUCUUUAUGAGGUGUGUGGCUGCACAAAGUGCCUUUCUGCUCCCGCAGCAGCGAAUCUUGACACCCACAGCUUGGGCUGGUGUCCCAGGGUGGGUUUUCUUUCCGGGUUGAUUUGGGAUUUUUGCCCACGGAAAAUGAAUGAAUGAACAAAUAAUUUGCAGCUGUCCGAAUGGCCGUAACAUCUCCGCGCUCUGCCCAGAGCUCUGGAAAUGGAUAUCAGAGCUGCUCAGGGCUUUGAUGCAGCCUCUGCACCUGGCCUAUGCUCUGGGUCUGGCAUAUCCCUGUGUGCUGUCACUGCCCUAACGCAGUGCAGUCAAGGCUCUGGUAUCCUCUGUUCAAAUAACUCAUCUUCUGCAGUGUGCACACUAUGCAACUCAGCAUUCCCUGUUUGAUAAUGAAGGUCAAACCCAAAAGCAACUGGUCAAUUUUGGUCUCAUCCUUUUUAUUCCUAACAAAGAAGCAGCAGUACCUGCAGGCCCAGAGCGUGGUGUAAGCUGGUGUGAUGCUCUCCUUUGCUGUGUGUAAGGACUGCUGAUGCCAGCAGGUAUCUGGUGCAGAUGAGUGCAUUCACAUGGAAGCCCAUGUGCAGCUCUGCUGUGCUGGGUAAUUGUGGGUCACUUGGUUGGCUCUGAAAGGCCUCACCACUUAGGAAUAAGCACUCAAAGGAGUGGACAUUUGCCUGCUUUCCAUACUACAGGCAUCAUUAAGGGCUUUGUUUUCUUUUUUAUCAGGCUCUGUAUAGAAUUUUCAAUAAAAUAUGAAGGAGGCUUUCGUAAAAGUAGUGCAAAGUUUGGCAAAAUGUGGUAACAGCUGAACCUCACGGUGUCCUCUCCUUCCUUUCGGCCUUCCCGUAAGGCAGGGCUGUUACAGGGGUGGGGUUUGCACAAAGGCAGCACUGCCAUCAGCCUUAGAGCAUCCCCGAUCACCGGCACUCGGCUUUUCUCCCCUCUGUGCCCACGGCAGUGAGUGCUCUGAAGGAGGGCAGUCCGCCUCACACCUCCCUCCCCAGCAGGCCUCCGGAGGAUUGGGUGUUAAGAAAGACCAUAGCAUCUCACUCUGAGCUAUGCCUCAGCUUCCACAGAGAUAGGGAGUGAUAACGGCACGCUGCUAUCUCCUGUGAAGUGCGCAGAGAAACACAGAUAAAAGCGUUUGGAGUGUGAAGUGCCAUGGCUUGGCAGCUGCUGCUCUCCUGCUGCCUGCGCUCCGUUGGCCAUUCGUUGGUCUGAAGACUACAAAUCACCUCCAGAGCUGCUCGGAGUGGAACCGAGGAGUGCUGUGCUAGGGCCGAUAGCUCCUCGUGUGCCUUCCUGCCGCUGUGGUACUCCCGUGAGAGCCACGGCCCGUGAUGUGGGAGGGAUUGUGGCCGGGAGGUUUGCAGCACUGAACGUGGGAGCACUCAGGCAGCAUUGCAUGGAGCCGACUUUGGACGCUGCUGCGCAAACAGCCCCAGCACAGCGCAGCCCCGGGCUGUGCCUCUGCCCCCGGAGCAGCACUGUUUGCUCACAGCGCUCAUUUGCCUUUUCAUUUAGCAAUUCGUCUGCUCUCUUUCCUCUGCUGCAGUUUCCUCACUCCCUCGCCUUGUAAAGCCAUCGUCUGCUACCUUUCCUGGGAACGGCCUCCCCGGAGAGCAGCGCGGACAGACGGCUAACGAGCGGAGGGACGCCUAAUGGUGCUUUUCCCUUCCUUUUAUCCUGAGCCAUUUGCUGGGCUGUGCGGUUGACAGGCGCACAUCAGGGAGUCAACACGACACCACAUUUCUUUAGUUUUCCUCCCUCUGUUCUCCCUUUUCCCUCGUUCUUCUGAAAUUCAGGCUGAACCUUCCCAUUCCUCUGGCUGCGCUGAGCUCCGUGCAGCCCCAGCAGCCCCCGCUGCCCUUCUCCCCGUGCUCUAUGCCUGCUGAGGACGUGCUCUGGGGGCAGUCACCAAGCGAGUGAGUGCCGUUUGGCUUUGUUUUAUUUCAGUUUUGUGAUUUGUAGAGGUGAGUGGCUGCGAGUCAGUCUGACCGGCCUCCCCCCUUCCUCCGGCCUCCAAGAGGUCCCCAUUGCAUCUCUGCUGCCCAUAAGCACACCUUUCCCAGUCCUACUCAAGACGUUCCAUCUGCUGAGUAAAUCCCGUGCUCUUCGCAGGAAUUUUAUAUUAUCAUCUCAUUUAUUUUAUAAGGGUACACAUAGAAUUACUUUCCUUGUUCUUCUUCAGGAAAUGGCGUACCCUUACCCUUCCCCACCUUUUGUUUCCUGGGCAUACCAGCCCAGCUCCCAACGCUGCUUGCCUGCAGUGCUGGCAGCCCUGGGCAUAAGGGACGCUGAUUCAGGCCAGCAUGGGCUCCCACCGCUCCGGGCAGCGGCCAUGAGGACAGCAGUGGCUCCCAGGUGACCACGCAGUGUGUGCUGGCCUCAGGAUCUGCAGAGCCACUCGAGCAAAUCGUCCAAAAAUAGGCUUCACAUGUGAUGCAGAAGAACCCAAGCAAAACACAGAGCCCAGCCAAACCCAAAUUUAUGCUUGUGGUUACUGGAGUCUCCGAGAUCAAUUUUUUGUUUACUUAAAACUCAUUUCAAAGCAUUUUUUUCCCCUCGUUCUUGAUCCCCCAGCAGGGGAUGGCGGUGGCUGAGCUCCAGCCCGGGGCUGAGUGUCCUGGCACUGCUGGGGGGCAGCAGGCAGGGUACUGGGGGCUGCGCAUCGCCCUGCCGUGACCGCACAGUGACAGGCAGGGACACGCAGCCACGUGGGUCCUUCUGGGAAAUGACCGUGCUGCCGACUCGCUGAGCUUCCACGAAGUUGGCUGCUUAUGGGAAGCACUCCUGUACUAAUGUUCAACCCAGGGCUGGUAGAGAGGAGAGGAAAAAAGGAACGCAGCUGGCAGUACCAUGGUCCCAAGGUACCUCUGCGAGGUGGGAGUAUUUCAGAGCUGUGUUUUACCCUUCCUCCUCCUGUGACCAGGACUGGGGAACUUCUCUGUUUUGCAUGGGCUUCUGUGUCCAUCCUACAGCUGUGCCAGUCCCACUUUUCUCCGGAGUUCUGCCUGGGGUCCCACAUGCUGCUGUCUGCUUCUCCUACGUGUCCCACUGCUGUGCUGCAGAGCACGGGCACAGAAGCCAGUGGGUAGAAAGCUCCUCUGCCUGGGCUGGGUAAGUGCUCUGCCUCAAGGUGUGUGAAACUGAGGGAAUAGUGAGAGGAGCAGUGCACCACAUGGCACAGGACAGGCAUCACGGCUCUGUGUGCACGCCCCAGCAUCUGCCUGGGGGGUCCACUCUGAUCCUCUCACCUCCAUCAGAGCAGGACUUUGUUUUGAUUUCUGAGUUUUUGAUAAGAUGGAAGACUGUGAGUGUUAAGAGAGCAGGUUUAGCUAAAAAAAUCUAAUCCAACAAACCAACCAAAAGGGGAAACCCCAACCUCAAAGCCCCACAGAACCACUGCAGAGCUGCAAUAACAGCAGCAGGGGCUGAGAUCAGACUCUGUGCCAUCCCACAUGCGUGGGGUUUGCCCCAGCAGGACAGAAAAGCCUAGAAAGUUGCACUUCAACGUACUUCAGGACAAACCGUAUAGAGCAUGACCAUGGGGGACAACUAAAUUGUGGGCAGGAAGAAAUGGUUUGCCUCUUUUUCUUUUCUUAGCCCUUUUGAUGCUCGUUGGCACAUUUGCCCCAUUGCAGCUUUCCACCAGGCCCCCCAUGGCAUUUUUGUCAGAGCUGCAGGGAAACGCCAGCUUUGUCUGGGGCUGCUGGACACAGGGAGAUGGCACUGGAGAGACAGAAGGAGGUUCCCAAUGGGUUCAAUGACAUCUGAGCAACGCCCCUGUGUGCUGCUGGGUUGGGCUGUCCCCGGAGAGCACUUCACGGGAGCUCUGUUCUCAGUGAAAGGCACCCAGCAUGGAGGCCCAUCUCUGGACUCCCCCACUUGCUCCCAGAGUGCCGCCAGGUACUCGGAGGGACCUGGAUGAGGAAAACUGAACUGCCACAUGAAGAUGGGUCUGCCUGGGUGAGCAGUGCCUGCACUGAGGUGCCACUGCAUUGCAUCUGGCUUUGCUUUGGGAGUGCUCUUGGAGAGGAGAGUUUGGGCCUGAGCUUGAGGCUGUAUUCUCUGAAAAACAAACGCCCAGCAGCACGAGGAGCUCACCCCUUAACAUCGCAUGGCCGUGCCUUCGCCAUUCCUUCCUCUUUUCUUCAUCCUGCAUUCAAGGUGUGACUUCAAUACAUGUGACCAACUGGAAAUUGCAGUCGCCAUUUGGAAGGGCUGGUUCCUGCCCUCGGGAAUCAUGUGGUCAUCAGGACCUGGCACUGUGUCCAGCCAUGCACUUUGCUCUAGCAGCACUGUGCCCAUGGUGAUGCUGCUGUGCCCAGGGCAUGGCAAUUCCAAGCACCCACCGCAGCCGCCCCGGUCCCCUCUGUCCCUCCCACACCCCUCUUUGUCCCCAGCUCGGCGCCAGCUGUCAGCGCAGGCACAGCACAGCAAAGCCUGCAGCAAACACAGUACGGGUGCUCCCCAGCACAAGCCAUCGCUGGGGCGGAUUUGGCACCGAGUUAAGUCAUAAAGGAUAAAUGUGCUUUAUAGCCACAUUCAGGAUGUAGCUCUAAUGGCUAAAUAAAAACAUACCCAAAGCCGUGGAAGCUGUCAGCUGAGGCCCGAGGGAACUGUGCUGUUGUACAAGCAGACUGGGACUGCUGCAAAUCACUGCACAGAAGAAGGAGAAAGGGCUGAACUAAAGAAGUGAAGAGAGAGGGGAGCAAGUGGGAGGGGGCUGCUGAGGAGCAGCAGCAUGAAUUUAAACUCAGCACUGAGGAGUCCUUGCAGAAGUGCAGAUUGCUCCACAUCCCUCUGUGUCCCCAGGUGGGCAGGGGAGGAUGGUGCUGGCUGUGCCGGGGGGUUGGUGUGCCUGGAGGGCCCCGGGGAGGAGCAGCAUGGGGAGGGCAAGAGAUGGGCAUCAUCGGGUUCCUGCCCUGUGCUCCCCUUCUCGUCUGCACAUUUGUUACUUAGGUCGAUCCCUGGGUGGCCCCACAGUGCUGGGCAUGUCCUGGGAGCUCAGCACCCAUCCACACCACCCGACUGCUGCCCUUCACAUGCCAGCACCCUCACCCACACCCCCAGCCCCUCGUGUGCAUCACUCCCUGCCUCGCGCGCCCGGGACAGAGGAAGCGAGUGAGGAGCUGCCAGCAGCCUCCAUGCACCCGGAACGUUUUCCUAAUAGCAUCCAGAUGGAUCCACAGAAAUUGUUCACAUCUCAGAAGGAAAAAAAAACAUACUUCAGCUGCAAGACAAAUGAGCUUCGGAUGCUUCAGGCAGGGCAGCCCAGAGGAGAAGCCCACUGCUGGCUCUCCCGAGAGGCUGCAUGUAUGUCUGAAAUGCACCAUGGGAGGACGUGGGGAUGGGGCUGCACAGCUCUGAGAGUGACCACUGCCCUGAGGUGCUGCAUGGACUGCAUGGAGCCCCUUCCUCAGAAUCAGCCCUGUCCCUGCGGCUCAGCUGUGGGCCCUGCAGCUGCCUGUGCUGGGGAGGUCAGUUGGAGAGGUCGGCUCUUCCAUCUGGAUGCAGGUGCCCAUGCGCCUUCCCAGCUCCAUUGUAAGGACCGUAACUCCAAAGGGAGGAAAUAAUUGGGUUUGGAAAAAGGGAGAGGAGGCAUUCUGCAGUGAAACUGUGGCUUUGGGGUAGUGGGGAGUGGUUUGGGCCCAUCCCAAGCAUUCCCACAGCUGCAGCUCGUGCCCUCUGUGCAGUCGGGUUCUGAGUGGGGUUGAGGGAUGCUCUGUGCUGUGGUGGGUG
rnacentral:lncRNA from 1 species